AACGACUCUCGGCAACGGAUAUCUCGGCUCUCGCAUCGAUGAAGAACGUAGCGAAAUGCGAUACUUGGUGUGAAUUGCAGAAUCCCGUGAACCAUCGAGUCUUUGAACGCAAGUUGCGCCCGAAGCCCUUAGGUUGAGGGCACGUCUGCCUGGGCGUCACGCA
rnacentral:rRNA from 1 species